GACGAACCGUCCAAACGUUAUUCGGAAUCACUGGGCUUACAGAGUUCGUAGGCGGUCUGGAAAGUUGGGUGUGAAAUCCCUCGGCUCAACCGAGGAACUGCGCUUGAAACUACCAGACUCGAGGGAGAUAGAGGAAAACGGAACUGAUGGUGGAGCGGUGAAAUGCGUUGAUAUCAUCAGGAACACCGGUGGCGAAGGCGGCUUUCUGGGUCUUACCUGACGCUGAGGAACGAAAGCCAGGGGAGCGAACGGG
rnacentral:rRNA from 1 species